rnacentral:rRNA from 1 species
AUUGAACGCUGGCGGCAUGCUUUACACAUGCAAGUCGAACGGUAACAGGCCGCAAGGUGCUGACGAGUGGCGAACGGGUGAGUAAUGCAUCGGAACGUGCCCAGUCGUGGGGGAUAACGCAGCGAAAGCUGCGCUAAUACCGCAUACGAUCUCUGGAUGAAAGCGGGGGACCGAAAGGCCUCGCGCGAUUGGAGCGGCCGAUGUCAGAUUAGGUAGUUGGUGGGGUAAAGGCCCACCAAGCCAACGAUCUGUAGCUGGUCUGAGAGGACGACCAGCCACACUGGGACUGAGACACGGCCCAGACUCCUACGGGAGGCAGCAGUGGGGAAUUUUGGACAAUGGGCGCAAGCCUGACCCAGCAAUGCCGCGUGCAGGAAGAAGGCCUUCGGGUUGUAAACUGCUUUUGUACGGAACGAAACGGUCCGGGUUAAUACCCUGGGCUAAUGACGGUACCGUAAGAAUAAGCACCGGCUAACUACGUGCCAGCAGCCGCAGUAACAC